rnacentral:rRNA from 1 species
CCUACGGGAGGCAGCAGUGAGGAAUAUUGGACAAUGGACGCAAGUCUGAACCAGCCAAGUAGCGUGCAGGAUGACGGCCCUCCGGGUUGUAAACUGCUUUUAGUUGGGGAUAAAAGGGGUCUCGUGAGCCUCGUAUUGUAUGUACCAUCAGAAAACGGAGCGGCUAAUUCCGUGCCAGCAGCCGCGGUAAUACGGAGGAUGCGAGUGUUUUCCGGAGUCAUUGGGGUUAAAGGGUGGGCAGGCGGGCCUUUAAGCCGGAGGGGAAAUCGCGGGGUCCAAGCCCGCCGAGCCGUCGGUACUGGGGGGCUUGAGUGCGGCAGAGGCGUGCGGAAUGCGCGGUGUAGCGGUGAAAUGCAUAGAUAUCGCGCAGAACCCCGAUGGCGAAAGCAGCGUGCCGUGCCGCCACUGACGCUGAGGCACGAAAGCGCGGGGAUCGAACAGGAUUAGAUACCCCUGUAGUC